rnacentral:misc_RNA from 1 species
GAUGAAGAACGUAGCGAAAUGCGAUAAGUAAUGUGAAUUGCAAAAUUCAGUGAAUCAUCGAAUCUUUGAACGCACAUUGCGCCCUCUGGUAUUCCGGGGGGCAUGCCUGUUCGAGCGUCAUUAUAACCACUCAAGCUCUCGCUUGGUAUUGGGGUUCGCGGUUCCGCGGCCCCUAAAAUCAGUGGCGGUGCCUGUCGGCUCUACGCGUAGUAAUACUCCUCGCGAUUGAGUCCGGUAGGUCUACUUGCCAGCAACCCCCAAUUUUUACAGGUUGACCUCGGAUCAGGUAGGGAUACCCGCUGAACUUAAGCAUAUCAAUAAGCGGAGGA